GUAGAAUACCUUUUACAAAAUCAGCAAUCGCAUCCACACAGUAUUCAGCCAAAUUAUAAUCUGUUUUAAUGCCCAUCAAUCUUGUAGCAGAUGAUAAAGCUGAAUGACUAUCUCUGCAACCUUCGUACAAUGGUUGCUUUCCAGCAUCCAACAUAUCAUAAAAUCUCCUAGCUUGUGCAUUGGGUAAAUUUUCCCCUCUAAAAUGAUC
rnacentral:lncRNA from 1 species